rnacentral:rRNA from 1 species
CCUACGGGCGUCAGCAGUGAGGAAUAUUGCGCAAUGGGCGAUAGCCUGACGCAGCGAAGCAGCGUGAGGGAUGAAUGUCCUAGGAUCGUAACCCUUUGUCAGCAUGGGAGUACGGUCACUCUGCUAAUCAGCUGUGUAUUGACCGUAUCUGCAAAGGAAGCAUCAGCUAACGCCGUGAAACCAGCCGCGGUGAUACGGAGGGGCCGAGUGUUAAUCGAAUUUACUGGGCUGAAAGGGCUCGUAGGUGGUAUGUCAAGUCAAGGGUGAAAGCGCCGGGCUCAACGUGUGAACUGCCUUUUAGACUGGCAGACUGGAGUGUGUGAGAGGAUAGUGGAAGUCGAGGUGUAGGAGUGAAAUCCGUAGAGAUCUGGAGGAACAUCAGUGGCGAAGGCGACUAUCUGGAACAUAACUGACGCUGAGGAGCGAAAGCGUGGGUAGCAAACAGGAUUAGAUACCCGAGUAGUC